ensembl:lncRNA
CGCACAGUGCCCACGCCCGCCGGGCGAGUUCCCCCCGCAGGGCCCGCGGCCGAGCCGGGGCGAGUCACCUGGCCGCGCUCAGCCCAGGCCCCACGCGAGCCGGAUGCGCACCGCGUCGCUACCUUGGAGCUACGGGCUGGUCCGGACCCGGCGUCCACUCCGGCUCGGCCGCUGUCUUCAGCACUCCUCUCGCCGCUCCCGCCUGCGCCACCGAGGCUGCUCCGCCGCAGCUUCGUAGUCAGUCAUGCUGAGCGAGGAUGGGAGCGGGCGGGGCGCGCGGCGGUCGCGGGUGGACGGCGGUGUGCGCAGCGGGGCCGCGGGGCGGCUGCAGCGAGCGCCUCCAGGGCAGGCCGCGCUCCGGACGGCAGGAGGCGGCGCCGCGGCCUCGGAGCGGGUGACAGAGUCGGGCCGGGCGGGGGCAGCCCGAGGGCGGCGCCGGCCAACCGCGUCGCUGGCUUCCGCGCACGCAGCCUGGCGCGGCGACACGCGCACACCCGCGGCCGAUCGGGGGAGGGAGCGGAGCCCGCCGAGCGCCAGAUCCCCGCGCGCUGCGAGUCGCCAGGGCAGGUCGGGGCGCCGCGGUGGGGUGCGGAAAGCUGGGGUAGAGAUGCUCCUGGGCUCUCUGUGACAGGGAUAUUUUCUUUCUCUUCCUGGAAAUAGGGCUUGUUGCAGUGUUCUGCCCAGGUUUUCUAGUGUCAUCCACCCCAGGAUCCUCUUGACAACUCUCUAGCUAACAAGGUAACAAGGAGCGGAGGUAACAAGGAGCGGGCCUCCUUUCCUUUAAACAGGUCACGCCUCCCAGUAACCAUUUGUAGCAGUAGAUUAUAAGAAUAGAAGCCUUGGGAUUGGCUAGGAGUGGACUCUGUGCCUACUCUGGCGGUCCUCAGUAGCAUUCCAGAGUCCAUGACCAUUUGACUGGUGACUCCUUGGAGAACGUGUAUCUCUUUAGAAAUGGUGUUUUUCUUUGUGGUGACUGCUGUCCCAUGAAAGCUGCCUGUGGGUACCUGAGGACAGCAAUAAGCAAGUCAUGCUCAGCAGGACUGGAAGAGAAAUUGGAUCAAGACUUAAAUGGAUGAAGCACACAAUUGACUCGACUGCCAUCCAGCAAGCACCAGAAUUGUAAUAUUAAUGUGGAAGUUAAUUGGGAUAAUCAACCAGAUAAUAAGGACAGUGGAAAAGAGUAUUUUUUUUCCUAAGCAUAGUUGUCUUAACUAUUGCUGUGUGAAUUCUGGUAUGGUGAAAAGUCAGAGAAAAGGGAAGAGAGAGAGGAAGAGAGAGGAAGAGGUAAUUAUCAUGUUUGAUUAAUUUAGUUUAUUUGAUGACAAUAUUUUUUAAAAAAAAUUUACCAAAUUAGUGAGUUACUUUGUUAAUCUGUGUCCAAGAAACUGGACUUUGAGCUUUCUAGUCUAUAUAGUCCUAGACACACUGACAAGCAUCACCUAAAUCAUCCAUAAGAACAGUAUCCUGAUAAAUUUGAAAGUAACCUAAACAUAUGUAUAGAUAUAACUAUAGCAAGAAGAAGAAUAAAACAGCAAUGAGAAUGUAUUUGUACUCCUUGAAUAUAUAAUAAGCAAACAACACUAAUAAACUAGUCUAAGCCACAUUAAACCAGUAUUCUGAGAAGCUGGAAACUGGUUUUACCAUCUGUCAGCUUCUAUACUGGCAGCCUCACAAAUGAGAUUUCUUCUGAACAAAACAUCACAGCAGGAGCCACAGACAUGUGAAUUGUAAUUAAAACGUGAAAACGCAUUUCAUAGCUUUUGUCAUUUAUAGAAAACAUAUUGUAGAAUUUAGUUUAUAAAAUCAUAUCAAAUUUAAGCCAUUUUAAUUUUCCAAACCUAUACAGUGUUUCAUUAAAACUUUGGCCUUUAUGAACAGUGUGUUUUCCUUAGGUCUGGUUGACUCUCUAAUGAGCGUCAGUUAUUUCCUAACCAUUCAGAUACAAAAGAACAAAAGUAUAAAUCUGCUGAGGGAGCAUAAAUGGCACUGCUUUACAUUUAUCUGAUAGCAUUCUCUGUAAUAAAAUCCAUUUUCUAAGAUCAAAAACAAGUAUAUCCCUGGAGAAAUAUAAGCCAAAUCAGAUCUUAAACCUUGCGAUAAAAACUUUUCCUCCCUUUCAUAUCUAAAAGAACAGGAAUAUUCUAGGUUCUUAGCUUUUCCAUACCUGACAAUCCAAAUG